rnacentral:sRNA from 1 species
GACUAGUGAUCUCAGUAGUUAUGCAAUACAGGGGUAAUAUUUUAAUAUCUACUUUUUUCUUUGGCUGUUUCAGGUCAUGGGAGAUAAUCUGCUGCUGUCAUCCGUCUUUCAGUUCUCUAAGAAGAUAAGACAAUCUAUAGAUAAGACAGCUGGAAAGAUCAGAAUAUUAUUUAAAGACAAAGAUCGGAAUUGGGAUGACAUAGAAAGCAAAUUAAGAGCCGAAAGUGAAGUCCCUAUUGUGAAAACCUCAAGCAUGGAGAUUUCUUCUAUCUUACAGGAACUGAAAAGAGUAGAAAAGCAGCUACAAGCAAUCAAUGCUAUGAUUGAUCCUGAUGGAACUUUGGAGGCUCUGAACAACAUGGGAUUUCCCAGUGCUAUGUUGCCAUCUCCACCGAAACAGAAGUCCAGCCCUGUGAAUAACCACCACAGCCCGGGUCAGACACCAACACUUGGCCAACCAGAAGCUAGGGCUCUUCAUCCUGCUGCUGUUUCAGCCUCAGCUGAAUUUGAGAAUGCUGAAUCUGAGGCUGAUUUCAGUAUACAUUUCAAUAGAUUCAACCCCGAUGGGGAAGAGGAAGAUGUUACAGCACAUGAAUGACUUUCUCUUGAUUGUUGAAAAAUCAUUACCUGUGGAAUGA